rnacentral:tRNA from 1 species
UGUGUGGUGGCUGAGUGAUAAGCGAUAGGCUGUAAAUCUAUUAACGAAGUUAGAUUCUUCCCAACAA